rnacentral:rRNA from 1 species
UACGAAGGGGGCUAGCGUUGUUCGGAAUUACUGGGCGUAAAGCGCACGUAGGCGGCUUUGUAAGUUAGAGGUGAAAGCCCGGAGCUCAACUCCGGAAUUGCCUUUAAGACUGCAUCGCUAGAAUUGUGGAGAGGUGAGUGGAAUUCCGAGUGUAGAGGUGAAAUUCGUAGAUAUUCGGAAGAACACCAGUGGCGAAGGCGACUCACUGGACACAUAUUGACGCUGAGGUGCGAAAGCGUGGGGAGCAAACAGG